rfam:Sistotremastrum suecicum HHB10207 ss-3 unplaced genomic scaffold SISSTscaffold_25, whole genome shotgun sequence.
GGGGGUUUAACUCAGUUGGUAGAGUGCUUGCUUCGCAUUUGCUUAUGUAAGCCGAUUGCAUGAAGUCGUGAGUUCGACUCUCACAGUCUCCA